rnacentral:rRNA from 1 species
UACGUAGGGGGCUAGCGUUGUCCGGAAUCAUUGGGCGUAAAGAGCGCGUAGGCGGCCAGGUAAGUCCGCUGUGAAAGUCGGGGGCUCAACCCUCGAAUGCCGGUGGAUACUGCCGGGCUAGAGUGCGGAAGAGGCGAGUGGAAUUCCUGGUGUAGCGGUGAAAUGCGCAGAUAUCAGGAGGAACACCUAUUGCGAAGGCAGCUCGCUGGGACGUAACUGACGCUGAGACGCGAAAGCGUGGGGAGCAAACAGG